GCAGGUGUGAUUAAGUUAAGGAUCUUGAGAUGGAAAGAGCCUGGGUUAUCCAGGUGGGCCCCAUAUAAUCACAAGCGUCCUGAUAAGAGAGAGACAAGAGGGUCAAAGUCAAAAAAAGGAGACCAUAUGACAAUGGAAGCAGAGGGAAGCAGAGUCAGAGAGAGAAGAUGCUAUGCUGUGGCUUGGAAGAUGGUGGAAGGAGCCACCAGCCAAAGACUGAGGGCAGCCACUAGAAGAUGGAAAAGGCAAGGAAUAGAUUCUUUCCUGAAACCUUCAGAAGAAAUGCAGCACUACUGACACCUUGAUUUUAGACUUCUGACCUCCAGCACUGAAGAUUAGCCCUGAGCUAACAUCUGCUGCCAAUCCUCCUCUUUUUGCUGAGGAAAACCGGCCCUAAGCUAACAUCUGUGCCCAUCUUCCUCUACUUUAUAUGUGGGAUGCCUGCCGCAGCAUGGCUUGCCAAGCAGUGCCAUGUCCACAUCCAGGAUCCCACGAACCCGGGCCGCCGAAGCAGAACAUGCGAACUUAAUCAUUGCGCCACCGGGCUGGCCCUUGGCCUCCCUUUCAAGACACAUUCUCUGCUAUAGCCUUACUACCAUAAUGUAAAUACUUUAAGGCCUGUUUAUCCCCUUGUGUUUGUUCUCAGCUGGCUCAUAAUUAGCAUGUCUAAUUGUAUUCUCUGAAAUCACCAAUACAUUGUAGAUAGCUGACUAAAUGAUGGAGCUGGAUGGAGCUGAAUGGAGCUGAAGAACACAAGCAGAAUUGAUCCCAGGCAUUCCGAAGCCUGCCCUGGAGACUAACAAAACAAAACGAAACAAAAUAAGUGAAGGGGAAGGAGUGGAGGCUGGUGGAAGAAGUGGCAACAUUUAGACCUUAAUACUCAUGUGACCUCACUGCCUGGACUUGUGAAGCCUGAGGGUAUUUUAAUUUUAUAAGUAGUACGUAAUUUAAUAAGAAACAUACAGCAGGAUACACCCUUUGUACUACAACUACUGGAUUGCUUUGGCACAGCAAAAAUGCUCUGACACUUUACUUCAGAUUUAAUUCAAUUAAGAAACUGAGUUUCACACAGAAAGAAGGAGAGUUCCUAGCUGCUGGCGAAUCUAUUUAGUAGGUGAGUAAAGGAGAAAGGAUGAGCCUGCCUUGGGCACUGGAGCAAACAGGUACAGAAGAUGUGCAAACAGAUCCAGCAAAAACAUUGGAAAACUUGGAACCAUCUCAGGUUGAGCUGCUUUUCUCCUAACUGAAGAGAGGGUACGUCUGAGAGUCAGGCAAGGGAGAGCCACAGCUGUGGACAGGGGGCAACGAGGAACUAGAGUCUGAGUCUUCGGUGAGGUGGCCUCAGAAGAGAUAAGAAGAAUCAGGUCCAGAAAUGAGAGUUCUGCCUCGCAGGACAAGCGAAACAUAUCUUGAGCUUUCUGUCUUUGUUUUCUUUGAUGUUUUUCUCUGAAACAAUCCUUCAGACAAGAAGAGUAUUAAAUCACAAAUCAGAGGACUUGGAUCUAGUCCCAGUUCUGUCAAUAACAACACUAGCUGAUACAGCAGAAGAUAAUUUGACCCCAAGCAAGUUCAUAGGAUGCAAGUUGGCCAACCCAACAAGUUGGUUAAAAUAUCUAUUUGUUCCAGAAAUCAUAUAUCUAAUCACUGGUUUUUCAAGAAUUGAUCAUUCUGGUGCCUCACAGUAUUGUUUUGCAAUAUUUUAAAUCUUUAGAUGCUUUUGCAUUUUUCAGCAUUCAGAGGUUUAUUUUCCAGUAAAUAAAUCAUAAGCCCUACAUUAUUCAAUUCAUCCUUGUCUAGAAAAUAUCAUUGAGGCAUAAGCUUAAGGCAUUGGUUAACAAUUCUUAAUGAAGAACCUUGAAAGGAUAGGUGACUGCCAUUUGCUUUGAGAAGACCAGCCCCAAACUGGUUAUUAAAAUUUGUUCCCCAGUGGCCGGCCCUGUGGCUGAGUGGUUGAAGUUCUGCAUGCUCUGCUUCAGUGGCUUGGGUCUGUGGGUUCGGAUCCCGGGCAUGGAACUACUCCAUUCAUCAGCCAUGCUGUGGCAGCAUCCCACAUACAAAAUAGAGGAAGAUUGGCACAUGUGUUACCUCAGGGGUAAUCUUCCUCAAGCAAAAAAAAGAGGAAGAUUGGCAGCAGAUGUUAGCUCAGGGUGAAUCUUCAUCACUAAAAAAAAUAUAUAUAUAUUGUUCCACAGAAUUCUCAGUACUCUAGAUAAGCUCAUGUGUCUCCCUGGGUUCCCUGCCUCCUCUGGUAAGGGUCAAGAGAAUUCUCAAGAACCCUGUGGAUUUGAAUGGAGUAGGAGUGCCCCUCCCCAGCCUCCACACUUUCAACUGCAGCAGAGAAGAUGGGAUUCUAGAGCUCUCUUUCUGGCGAGAUCCCCACUGCUCCAUACCAUCUGACACACCCCCAUUAUCUACCCUUCCACCAUUAAGACCAAUCUUAUUACGCCUUUAGCCUUGUUCUAUCAGUCUCCACAAGAAGCCCCAACACCUAGGUUACCCCUCAUUCAGGUACACCUCAGCACUUAGCACUUCUAAUUCCAUCUCCUCUUUCCCCAAACUCUGAGCCUCUGGACAGGCAGUAAAAUCCUCUGUAUCCUCAAACUCUCCUCUUAAUGGUUUCUUUCUUAUUCUAAGUGAAUCUUACUUCUCCCCUGAAGUCACUGCUCCUGCAUCUUUCUCAUGGACAUCAAGAGCCUAUUUUGGAAGUAAUAAUCCCAAACAUCCUGGAGGCAACGGAUGCAUUAGGGCCUGCCAGUAAUUGUUUGAAUUUCUUUGAGAACGUGUGAAAAAAAAUAAGCAAAAACAUAUUUUUCAGUAAUUUCUAUCAUACAGCUGAAUGAAAAAAAAAGACGUUAAGGAGUAUAAGUAGUAUACCAUCAUUUGGGGAGGAGGAGAAGACAAGAAUACAUACAUGAAUACUUAUAUACACAUAGAAAUGUCCUAGGGAGUCACAAAAAACUUCUAACCACAGUUGAGCCUCAGAAGGAAGAAUGGGUACCUGGGGGACUGUGGAGGAUAGGAGGCCUGUUUUAAAAAAAAAAUUCCCCCAACAUUUGAUUAUGAAAAAUUUCAAUCAUAUAGACAGGCUAAAAGAUUUUACACAGAGAACACUAGUAUAUCCUCCGUCUAGAUUCUGUCAUUAACAUUUUACUAUACUUGCUUUGUCAACCUUUCAAUGCAACCAUCAAUCCAUCUUAUUUUUUGAUACAUUUCAAAGUAAAUCGUAAACAUAACUUCACUUACCCCUAAAUUCUUUAGCAUAAAUAUCACUAACUACAUUUCAAAUUUUGUUUACUACUUUUUCUUUUGAAUGAGAUGCAAAAAUCUUAAGGGUAGAAGGGCUGAGUUUUGAGAAAUGCAUACACCCGAAUAACCCAGAUCCCUACCACAAUAUAGAACAUGACAUUACCCCAGAAAGGGCGAGGAGGCCUU
rnacentral:lncRNA from 1 species